rnacentral:rRNA from 1 species
UGGCGGUCAUAGCGAUGGGGAAACACCCGGUAACAUUCUGAACCCGGAAGUUAAGCCCAUCCGCGUACUUCACUGUACUGAGGUGCGAGAGCCUUCGGGAACUGGAGAUCG